ensembl:lncRNA
AAUAUUUAUCAAUAGCACUUUAUUUAAAACACAACCAACCCUAAGCCACAAUACUGAAUGACAAGACCAAUUGGCUGCAGCAAACAUUGUAUAAAAUAGAUUUAGGUUCAAUGUUUAAAUCAUUUUAUUAUUUUAACGUCAAAGAUUGAUGCAGAUUAGUCCGAAAUUGUGAAUCAAUGAUCUUACACACAUUUUGUAACAAAUUACAAUUUACAUAGUUCACACAAUGGAAAAACAAGGCAAAGUGCUUUUGGGAUCAAUUGCAUUGUUGUCAACUAAAGAAAUGGCUUGAGGUUUUGGAGGGACAGUGGAUGGGGAGUGAGGGGGUGUUCCUCUCCUUGUGUGGGAAUGAGGGGCAGGGUGAGUGUCUGUCUGGUCAGAAACCAGACUUCUCACCCUGUCCUCUAUUGCCAUGGAAUUAAAGCUAGAAUCUUUAGUUCCUACAUUCAUUUUUGGACUUAAAUUAAUGAAGAAUAUAAUUUGACUCAAACAAAGUUCAACCAUCAUACCCCAUUAAAACCCCAAAUAUACAUGUUUUACAAUGUUGGUAAACAAACACUGUAUAGCCUCAACAUGGUUAACUAGAUUUUAUAUCAUGGGUGGUCAGUCCUUGCAUCCAUAGCUCUGUCCAUGAAUUUGAGUGGUUCCAUUUCUCCAGGCCCAGCCGUCAGCGUUUUACCAGAGGUGGGGUAUCCGCUUUUGUUUCAAUUUAAGGAUUCUAGCUUUAAAGCUGAUGCACAAUGACAGUGGGAAGGCAAACACCUAGCAAGUUGAGUGGAUUAGUGUUUCUGAAGGCAUACGGCUUGAGGGGAACAAAAUUCAACCUUGUACAGAAUAUAAUAAUGCAUAUAACCGGUCUCCACUGUUAAAAAUAUGACAGUACCAAAACCAGCUGUACGUACAUAUGCAAUAACUAACCCAACCAAAAUUCACAUAUUCCAGGAAGCUGUAAACGUUAAGAGACUAGAGCAUAACAAUGGAGAAAUUAGGUUUUAAAAAGACAUCAUCAGUCUGGCUUCACAUCCCAGUGGCAUUUUGUUGUAGAAAUGCGUAUCAUAAAUCUCAUGAACACACACAAUUAUACAUACAAUCAAGCACACUUCAUCAAGUUGAAUUAUUGUUCAUGGUAAAAUUCUCAGUUCCCAUAGGCUAUUGUGUAUAUGUUUGUCAAAACAGGUGCAGAUUAACUCUAGCUGCAAUGUAUGGGAGGUAGGAAAAAUGCUACUAUUGAAAAAGACAAGUGUAUUUACAUGGAUAAUACCAUUAUAUGCAUCAGCCUUACAGAAUUAAGAAAGUGAGAGGCGUUGACUAUUCAUGUUAACUCAAAAUGUUGAAAUUGCGCUACGUCAUUGGUCCUGUUGCCAUUGUCAUCACAGGUCUAGAGCACAUGCUGGUGAUGGCAUUUUCUACUCACAGUAGAAUAGUAUUUGCAGGUUUGUAAAUGAGGUAAGAGUUAAAUAGGGAAUCUUUCCUUUCUCUGACAAACACACAGCAUGUAGACUAGGCCUAUGCCAGAUGUCAGUUACUACUAUUCAACAGCAAAGCAGUUUAGACUGUUCUGUUACCCAACAGCAAAGCUUGCGAAACUUUUGGAAUGUUUAGCUGACAAACCAAUUUUUAAGGUACAUUGAAAAACCAUUUCAUUGUAACUAUUGAUGUGCCCUGAUUUAGACUCCUCCUCCUUUCCUGGUAUGGGGUCCAUAGUAUUUACAAUACAUAAGCCACGGAGUGAAACGGACAACUAACCCGUAGUCGGUCUUCAUCAGUUCAUUCAGUUAAGGUGCUGCAGAGUAAACUAAGAAAUCAGCAAAGGGACCAACAAGUCACAGGAUAUGCCAAUGAAUGCAUCCAUUAUUCUGUAUUGCUCAGAGCACAUUACCAUCAAGUACCUCCAACGGAUGGUAUCAAAGAGACUAUGUGAAUUACCAUUGUGGUCCCUUACGGAGUCCAAUGAUAAUAUCUGGCCCCAGACUUCAUUGUGGGUGACCGCGCAUCUCAAGGCAAUUCCCAAUAGGAGGCUACACACUGAGCUAAUAAAUGGGCAAUUGGCAUUGAUCCUGUGCUUAUUCUAAGAGUACGUCUAUGUGCUUUUACAGCAAAUUACUGCCAAUAGUGGCAAAGAAUGUAAGAACAUUUCCUUCCCCUGCUGGUUAAAAAGGUCGUUUCAAGGGGAAUGUUAUUCUACAACUAAUAUCACAGGGCUUCCAACAAUGUCAACACAUUAUAUCCUAAGCACUAGGCUGUUCUCAUGCUACACCUUUCAUUUCCAUUGUCAUCUAUACGUCUGAUUUAGACAGGCUUGGUUACUUGCCCAAAGUAACAAAAACAUACAUGUGCAACACUGUUUCUUUUAAGUAGUUGCUUGUAAUGUGUAAUAAUUCUUACGUAGUUUUGUUAAUGUAACCCAUGGGUCACCAUUUCAACACACCUCCAUUAUUGAUACUAAUAAAACAUACAUGAUCAGAACAGCUGCAGAAAGCUUAACGUAACACAUUUUUUAAGAUUAGUGAGGGGGAAUGAAUGGGAGGUCUCCCUUAAUGUUUUCUGAAAACAAGGCAUUUCAUAAUUCCUUUAAUACACUUAAUUUACGGCCAGACAAUAUUUCAUUUGAUACGGAGGAAGAUGCAUACAUACACACCUUGACAUGCAAUCAAAAUAUUCACAUUCAAGGAGAUUGAAUCCCAAAAAUGCCUCUAACACAAUACACACAGUUAAUGUAUCAGUCAAAUUAUCUUGUGCAUUGUCCCCCUUAUGAGAAAGCAGCUUUGAUACUUGAAUAUCACAGUUCUAAGAAUGCAGUUCUUCACAUCCUAGUGCCACUUCUCUGGAUGCGAAGCAGCAAGGAGAGUUUACAAUCCCACUGCAUUAACCAGCUACAGAAAGUUACUUUAUUUUUUUUACAUGAAGCAAAUGAUAAAUAAGUUUAUUGCACUCGUCUUUUUCAUCCACUUCAAAAGGGAGGUCAGCUUAAAAAGCGAGGAUGAUUCAUCACGCCCUAAUGCUACUAGAAUACGACGCAUGUUAUAUUAGACCACUUCAACAGAAUGAUCACAUGCUUAACACUGCACACCGCUACUGAGGAACCACUACUUUUAAUAAUGCAAAAACACCACACGAUUACGACCAAAACAUUAUCAUUAUUACUGUUAUGUACCCUAAUAUGACUUCACAACCUGAACUAUUCUGUACAGUUAGCACAUCUAAGUAUAAAUACAUCUAAAUUGAUAUGCUCAGACUACAGUUACUGGUAAUGACUAUCCAAUCCCAUGCUUUCCUUCUCUUUGUGACCCCCUCGUUCUAACUCUUCUUGGCUCUAACCGCCACAGCAUUGCGAGACACAUCUUUGCUUGGAGGUAUUGUCAAAAAAUAUGGUUCCAUGUUUGGAUUUGUGCUUUCAAAUUUUUUUUUACUCCAAUAUUGGUGUUCAACAUCAGGUAUGAUGGUACACUCGGAUUCACCAUAUGACAGGACUCACGCGCAGAGAUCCAUAGCAUGCACACGAAAUAGGCCAAGAACAUACACAACAGUUGCUUAUUUUAGCAAACAUCACAAAGGUUGAGUGUUCUUUUCAGAGAGAUGUGCUCUUAUUUUACAUGGAAUUCAUAAGACUUCCGGAAGGUAUAAAUGGAAGACCAUGCCGUAGCUACAACAUUCAUUUAGAAACACAUGAAAAGGCACCAUGCCACCUCUGUGCUGGUUAUCACACAGGUCCAACUGAUGGAGAACAAAAUACCAAGCAAGGAUGAAGGAAAAAAAAUGAGACCACAAGCAGGGGGAAAGCUAGAAAAAUCCUCCCAUAUUUACUAACCCACAUUCACCAACUUGAGGGGGUAAAUAAUUACUGCAUAGUACUCCCCCCCACUAUAGAUUGUGUUUUCACACUAUUUUUCCUCAUGACCUUCAUUGAAUUACACAUUUCUGCCCUUCACAUGCCAGAACUUAAAUCUUUAGAAUCAAAUUGACAACUGUUUGCAUUUAUAACAAGGUAGACUUUAUUUUUGCCCUUUCUCUUCUCUCCAACUGGUACUUAAAUUAAUAGCGUUAUUUGGUUUUGGAGAUUACAGUCAAACUGAACUAGACUGGUAAUAAGUCAAAUCCAAUUAAAUGUUUUUCACUCAAUGUAGCAAAUAUGGCAAAAUCCCAAAACAAUCUCAGGGAAACCUUGAGUUGUUCGCCAUCAACAUUGGAUGUGUGCUUCCAGACACCCAAGGAUGUGUGUGUUCUUAUCCAAAAUGGCACCCUAUUCUCUAAACAGUGUACUGCUUUUGACCAAGGACCAACUUUGGUCAAAGGUUGUACACUAUGUAGAGAAUACGGUACCAUUUGGGAUGCACACCAUAAUAGCAAAAUCAGCAGAGAUUUGAUCAGUUCCACUGAGAAAUGGAACUCCAGGGGGGUCACGUGUCAUAACUUAGUAGAUACUGCAAGAUAUUGGUUCCUUUGCUUUAAAGUUAAGGCUUGGCUGUGAAUGAAAAUUUUACAUUUGCCUUCUAUCAAAGAUACUUCAAGUAAGAAUAGGGGCAUCCAUUGAGGUAAAUCUAUUCCCUGUUAACCACACAUCUGCCAACAUUAAAAACUGUUCCUAUAAUAAUUACAAAACCAGAUCUUACAAAGAAAUAAACAUACAUUUUGAUCAUUGCCGACUUGUUACAAAGUCUGUCCAAUUAUAAAUAUUUAACAAAUCUUGCAUCCAUUCUUUCUUCCAGACUACCAUGUCUGUUCUGAUUGCUUUCCUCUUCCUAGUUUCCACCCUACGAUCAGUACUAAGUAGUAAUGCAAACCAUUAGUCACCACUGACAUUAGGACCUGUAUCUGUGACAGCAAUGUUUCAAAUCAGAGCUUAAUACCAUUUUUAUUUUACUUUCUAACCAUGGCUAUCUGGGUAAAUGAGUCCCAACAAACACAAACAAAGAAAUUAGUUACUGACCAAAUAUGACUAUUAUGCUUGAAGGCAAAUAAAGGUUUCUAUGGCACUAAAUGGAUGUAGCUAGGUGUAUUUUCCUUUAAAAAAACAGGCUAUCAAUUAAUGCAAAAAAAUUAAAGCAACUACAGCGUAGUCUAAUUUUCUGUUCAAAAUAUAUUGUAAGGCUAUCUCAAUGGUAUUAACAGAGAUGAAUGUUCAAACCCUCUAACCUGCUGUUUUCAUUGUCAAUGCAUGACAAACACAUAGGGACUUAUAGGUAUAGCUCGAUCACAUUCAAGAGACAAGACCCAUAACAGGAAGACUAAACUUACAUGACAGUUAUUUCAUGCUGCUACUUGUAUAAUUUCAUGAAUGCCAGAGCAGUAGUUCAAAAGGUCAGGAGAAAAUAAUUGUUCCAAUUUGACCCCAUAUUCACAUUUGCCAGUGAAGUCAUGGGUCAUAUUUGGAGUCAGUGUACAUUCCAUGUUCUCGGAAUUUAUCUUUUUCAUUUUUGUUUUUUAAUCCAAUGUACUUGGCAAAUAAGGCCUUAACUGUGACCUAAGAUUUGCACAAUAACUCACGCAAAUCUUCAAUUGGCAUGCAUGUCAAUUGUAAGUCGCUCUGGAUAAGAGCAUCUGAUAAAUUACUAAAAUGCUUUGUUGGAUUAGCUUAAAUACAGUAGAAGGCAGUGCAAUAUUUGUGCUGCACACAUUGUUCACACGCUCUUUAUUGCUACAAAUGAGAAAUGUCCCAUUUAAUUGUUUCUUUAAAGUCAGAAGAAUGAUCUCAAGCUCCUUUAUAAUGAGUUCUCUGUCAAGCAAUGGAACACAUAUAUAUGGAGGUCCAGAUGGGAUAUAUGCAGGAGAACCGGUGCCAUCUGCUGGACAAGGGCAUUGCAAGAACAAAACUAUUUCUGACCUACUAGCCAGACACACCUGCUGUUGGAUUAUUGAUGUAAUCAGUGUCUGUUAUACAACAUACAGAUGUUGCUCAAUGUGGAGUCAUGGGAGGAGGAUGCAAGCAUGGUGAAAACAAGCCUAACUAAAUCACUGGACUAACCACAAGGACUAGUAACAUACCCUGGACUGGCAUCGAACAAACCACAUUGUGAUAACUGGAUUUUGGACCAUGUUGUGUGGACUGACCAUUUUAGACCCUGAGAGUUUUGAAGUUAAAUCUGUCAAUGAAGCAACAGUACAUACAUACCUUGCAAUCUUUGCAAUGACCUGUUUUGCACCUCUUCUCUCCCACAAAGCAGACUUGCUCAUGUAGCUACAACACAUAUGCACUAUUCAGAGUGAUAAUGCACACGAAGACACUGAACGUGUUAAAGUGCAUAACUACCUCAAUAAGUGCCUUGGAUCAGGGUUGAAUGAAUAACUAUAGAACUGUAUGCAUAUCACAAAAUGUCAAUAUGACUUGCAUGUUAUCAAUCCAUGUGAUAUGCUUACUGGCUCCACACAGCCUGAGACUUAACUGUUUACACAUGACACCAAAGACUAAACACUCCCUUUGUUCCUCCUCUACCCCAGACAACACAGAGAACACAGACUGUUGGGCACCACAUGACUUGUUAGUCCAUUAGAUUAGGUCCUCAUCUUUAUCAUCCUGAAAGAACUAAGGCAUGUCAUUUAGCCAUCAUCAAGAGAUGUUAUGGUGAAGCAUUAAAUAAAUAUGUAAAUUAGUCCGGAAUCUGUGAAAUGUAGCUGUCCAUUGAUGAUGCAAUAGAAAUGGUAGUGUAAAAAAUAUUUAAAUUAAGUUGAGCAAUGAGCUCCAGUGGUCUGAUACAAUCUACAAUGUAGUACCACCAGACAAGAUACAUGUGUAACAAAAGGAAUACCACAUAGCAAAAAGGAAUUACACUUUUUGGCUUUACUAAAAACACAAGUACUACUACUGCCCAUAUGAGUGUAACAUUUGUUUUUUCAGUUCAUUCCUACAGUAACCCUGCCAACCUACCGGGCUUUCAAUUAUCUCUAGUAAGUCAUGACUUCUAUCCGGAGACAUGACCAAUCAAGCCCAACCAAGGAAUCCUCUUCUUACCAGAUUCACAGGUCUAAUUAAGUGGGUGAGAUCCUAGGGUUCGUCUUGUUUUGCCAUCCUGCAUUCAUACUGCCAAGAUGUCAUAUGGUUCUAAAUGAGAUGCCAUGGUGGCAAUCAAUUUAAAAUGUUUUCUUGGCACAGAAAAAUGCCUUGACACAGCGACUACAGCCUUUAGUCUAGAACAGAUCAUGUCCAUGUAGC